AAAAAAAUUAAUUACAUGUAGCUCUCUGAAAAUAUAUUAAAUAGCAAAUAUAUUUCCAUGAAGUUUCAUUUUUCAUAUUUAUUUUGGAAAAAGUCUUAACGUUUUUAAAUAUAUCUCUACUGUUAGGAUCCAUUGAAAAAAUAUAGUUAACUAUAGAUAAAAUACUUAAGUCUGAUUAGUGAAUAAAGAAAAUUCAUAUUUUUUAUCAUUUUAAUAUUAUUUGUGAUAGUAAAAAAAGAAGAAGAAGAAAAUGAUCGUUGGGAAUUUUUGGAAAAAUAUUGCUGCAUAAUUCUAACAGUAGAAAUUUUUUGGAGGGACAUAUUUGUGUAGGCAAAAAUGUCAUUUUACUUAUAUUCUGUUAAAAAAUAAAUAAUGCUCUAAUAGUAACAAAACAAAGAGGCAAAUAUAAAUAUCAAUAGACUUUUAUAGAGAUAAAUAUGAAAAGUUAAACUUUGUAGGAAUAUAUUUGUUAUUCGAUAUGUUCACAGGGAGCUAUAUGAAAUUAACUCUAGAAAAAACUUCAUAUCAUCCUAUAAUUCUCUGUUCACUUUAGUAUCUUAUGAUUUUAACUUAUCACUAAUUUAACAGAAAAGUUAACAAAGCAGAUAACUGAAAGAAAAAAAAUACAAAAUCAAGAGAUGCUAAAGUAAUAUAAUUAUAAUCGAAAUUUAUGGGCACUGUAUAUGUACGUUUUAAGUAAAUUGAUUGUAUUUUUUUAAUUAAUAUCAGAGCUGAAGAUCGCAACUGGUUUGAUUCCUACAUACUGCGAAUUUGUACAAGCGCUAGGAGGGGAUUGUUAGUUUAAAAAGACAAGUAUCCUACCAUUUAGCAGAAGACUGGGUUGGGCUGAAUUACGUUCGAAAUGGUGGGAGGUCGAGUUGAAUCAGUCAUAUUCGAAGUGGCGGGAGACUAGUUAGGUCGAAUGACAAGCAAGAUCUGUGGGCGUUGUAUCUGUACACUUUAAGUGAAUUAGUUUUUUUUUUUUUGAGAGAGGGAGAGAGAUAGGUAGCACGCUAUCCGUUUCGUUUAUUUCAUUUAAAAAUAAACUUAGCUGGAAAUGUGAAUCAACUAGAAUUCGAACUUGGGUCUUGGGUACCAACCACCAAGCCUUUUGCACUUUAAGUAAAUUAGUUGUAUCGUUUUAACAGCUCGAACUUUUGAAAUUAAUGAUUGCGCCGACAAUCCAACAAAGUGCAUACUUUUUGUAUCAAAGGGGAUAAAGUGCAUAUCUCUCAAAAAAAAAAAAAAGGGGGAUAAAGCGCAACAUAGGUAGGGGUGUAAACGAGCCGAACACGAGCGAGCUGGGGUCGGCUCGUGUUCGGCUCGUUUAUUAAACUAACCGAACACGAGCUGGCUCGUUAAAGUAUCGAGCCGAAAAAUUCAGCUCGUGUUCAGCUCAUUUAUUAACGAGCCGAACACAAGUUGGCUCACGACUGGCCAACGAACAAUAAAAAAGGGAUAAUUUCAUAGAUGCCCCUCUAGGAACUAUUAAUUUCAUCAAUACCCUUCCAAAAUUAAUAAUAUCACAAAUGCCCUCCAAAAUGUGAAAAAUUAUCAUAAAUACCCUCCUCUAGUUAAGAUCCGUUAAACCCAUUUGAAUCUGAGUUAAAUUUUUAAAAUACCAUUUUUACCCUUUAUCUCUUUUUAAUAGUAGAAAUACUAAUAGGUAUUUCAAAAUAAUUUUUGUAAAUCUAAAUUUGAGUAUUUAAUAUAUAAAUAGUAAAUUAAAUUAUUAAUAUAUAUUAAUUAAUAAAAAAUAUAUAAAAAUUGUAUUUUAAAUAUAGUAUGUUUUUAUCUGAUUUUGGUUUUGUUUUUGGUUUUGGGUUUCGGUUCAGAUUCGAUUUAAAUAUAGACCAAAACUAUAACUGAAUUUACAUACGACGGGAUUUUAUUUUUUGGUACCUAUAACUAAAACUAUCCCUAUUCAGCAUUGAUUAAACUUAUCCCAUUUUAAAUCGAGUUUAGAUAAAAUUCCGUAUCUAUAUCAAUUCACAUUCCUAAUUAGUAAUAGUAAUUUUGAAAUAAAUUAUAGAUUUUAUUUUUUUCCUAUUUAAAAAUAAAUCACAUAAUUGUUUUGUUGAUUGAAAUAAAAAGAGAGUUUUGUUCAAAAGCUAAAAUAUAUUAUAUUUCAGUUUUUUAAUACACUUAAUGCAGAUAAAAUUAUCGAGAAUAAUUUUUAUUAAAAAAUUUUUUAAGUUUUAAAGAUUAAAGAAAGAUCGGAUAAUUUU
rnacentral:lncRNA from 1 species